rnacentral:rRNA from 1 species
UACAGAGGGUGCAAGCGUUAAUCGGAAUUACUGGGCGUAAAGCGUGCGUAGACGGUUAUGUAAGUCGGGUGUGAAAGCCCCGGGCUCAACCCUGGGGAAUGCCAUUCGAGACUGCAUAGCUAGGGUGCGGAAGAGGGAAGCGGAAUUUCCGGUGUGAGCGGUGAAAUGCGUAGAUAGUCGGAAGGAACACCAGUGGCGAAAGCGGCUUCCUGGUCCAGCACCGACGUCAGGCACGAAAGCGUGGGGAGCAAACAGG